UGGGGAAUAUUGCACAAUGGGCGCAAGCCUGAUGCAGCCAUGCUGCGUGAGUGAAGAAGGCCUUCGGGUUGUAAAGCACUUUCAGCGGGGAGGAAGGCGAUAAGGUUAAUAACCUUGUCGAUUGACGCUACCCGCAGAAGAAGCACCGGCUAACUCCGUGCCAGCAGCCGCGGUAAUACGGAGGGUGCAAGCGUUAAUCGGAAUUACUGAGCGUAAAGCGCACGCAGGCGGGCUGUCAAGUCGGAUGUGAAAUCCCCGGGCUCAACCUGGGAACUGCAUGCGAAACUGGCAGGCUAGAGUCUUGUAGAGGGGGGUAGAAUUCCAGGUGUAGCGGUGAAAUGCGUAGAGAUCUGGAGGAAUAACGGUGGCGAAGGCGGCCCCCUGGACAAAGACUGACGCUCAGGUACGAAAGAGAGGGGAGCAAACAGG
rnacentral:rRNA from 1 species